rnacentral:precursor_RNA from 10 species
UGCCCGGAAUCACUGCACGCCACUCGAUUCAGAAAUUGUACACUAGACUAGUUCGCCGUUAACUACCCCUAGUCUAGUCUACAGUUCAUGGAUCUGGUGACGAAGUCAUCGCCAGUGGGCG